UGUAGGUGUGUGUUCCAGGUAAAUCCGGUUCACUUUAACACUGAGGCGUGACGACGAGGCACUACGGUGCUGAAGCAACAAAUGCCCUGCUUCCAGGAAAAGCCUCUAAGCAUCAGGUAACAUCAAAUCGUACCCCAAACCGACACAGGUGGUCAGGUAGAGAAUACCAAGGCGCUUGAGAGAACUCGGGUGAAGGAACUAGGCAAAAUGGUGCCGUAACUUCGGGAGAAGGCACGCUGACACGUAGGUGAAGUGAUUUACUCAUGGAGCUGAAGUCAGUCGAAGAUACCAGCUGGCUGCAACUGUUUAUUAAAAACACAGCACUGUGCAAACACGAAAGUGGACGUAUACGGUGUGACGCCUGCCCGGUGCCGGAAGGUUAAUUGAUGGGGUCAGCGCAAGCGAAGCUCCUGAUCGAAGCCCCGGUAAACGGCGGCCGUAACUAUAACGGUCCUAAGGUAGCGAAAUUCCUUGUCGGGUAAGUUCCGACCUGCACGAAUGGCGUAAUGAUGGCCAGGCUGUCUCCACCCGAGACUCAGUGAAAUUGAACUCGCUGUGAAGAUGCAGUGUACCCGCGGCAAGACGGAAAGACCCCGUGAACCUUUACUAUAGCUUGACACUGAACAUUGAGCCUUGAUGUGUAGGAUAGGUGGGAGGCUUUGAAGUGUGGACGCCAGUCUGCAUGGAGCCGACCUUGAAAUACCACCCUUUAAUGUUUGAUGUUCUAACGUGGACCCGUUACCCGGGUUGCGGACAGUGUCUGGUGGGUAGUUUGACUGGGGCGGUCUCCUCCUAAAGAGUAACGGAGGAGCACGAAGGUUGGCUAAUCCUGGUCGGACAUCAGGAGGUUAGUGCAAUGGCAUAAGCCAGCUUGACUGCGAGCGUGACGGCGCGAGCAGGUGCGAAAGCAGGUCAUAGUGAUCCGGUGGUUCUGAAUGGAAGGGCCAUCGCUCAACGGAUAAAAGGUACUCCGGGGAUAACAGGCUGAUACCGCCCAAGAGUUCAUAUCGACGGCGGUGUUUGGCACCUCGAUGUCGGCUCAUCACAUCCUGGGGCUGAAGUAGGUCCCAAGGGUAUGGCUGUUCGCCAUUUAAAGUGGUACGCGAGCUGGGUUUAGAACGUCGUGAGACAGUUCGGUCCCUAUCUGCCGUGGGCGCUGGAGAACUGAGGGGGGCUGCUCCUAGUACGAGAGGACCGGAGUGGACGCAUCACUGGUGUUCGGGUUGUCAUGCCAAUGGCACUGCCCGGUAGCUAAAUGCGGAAGAGAUAAGUGCUGAAAGCAUCUAAGCACGAAACUUGCCCCGA
rnacentral:rRNA from 3 species